UGGGCUUGUGUUCAGGUGCCCUACUUUCCUAGGUUUUGACGUCACUCAACCUCUAUAUAUAUAAAUGACCGAGAAAAUCUCUUCUAUACCCUAAAACGCCGUUUUCUGUGUCUGAAAUUCCGACACAAAAAUAAUGGUUUACAGAGCUUCGCCUGAAGAUCUCCGCCAGCGCCUAAGGCCGCCUCCUGAACCUCCGCCGCCGAGAUGUAGAAGAGGCAUAUCGAACAAUAUUCUUGUCAGCGGGACCUAAACGGCAGUACAGUGUGGAUGGUCGUGGCAUGUGUGGGUGUCGAUGAUAUCUAGCAAUCAUCAAAUUAUUGUGAGUCGAGAUUUGAAUUUAUUAUUGUCAACCAUUAAUCGUCAUUACCUUUAGUUGUUACUGAGUCUACAAGUAUUAAUCAUUGUAGUAAAAAAUGCCAAAUGAGUGCAAGAUAUUUUGGAAAAAUAUACCAACAUGAAUAAUGUAUUUGUAUAUCUAUCUCAUUUAUGUGUAUUUUGCCGUGAUAUUUUAAAUGACAAUCUUGUAUUUGAGUUUAUUGGGAAUACAUA